CGGGGCCCCGCGGAGGGGCCCGGCUUUGUGGAGGAUUAGAGUCUACCGCCCCACCCCACUACCUGCGUGUGUUUCGGUGCUGGAAUUCUGCGUGUGCGCCAUCACCAGCCUUGGAUACUGUGCUGGUGUGUAAGUAACCGUGAGUCACAAAUCAUUCAUCAUUCCUGUCUCUUCAUCUCAUCAGGAGGCAUUGUGUCAAGCCAUGUCAUUACAAGGACAGUACAGAAGGAACGGACAAAGAGGCAUACUUCUUGGACGAGUCUGUGAGGGCGUUCCCAGGAAGGACUGAUGGAGGGGUAGACCUUCCCGCAGGGUGAGCAGCCAUUCCCAUGAUGCAUCUAUAAAGACGCCCCCAGAGAACACUGAGCCUUUCGCCUGCUACUCGCCCGUGUGUGCACGCACCUACCGCCUUGCUGCUAACCUUCUCCCACACCGGGACCGGCUUCCUUGGCCUUCCACACGGACUGAAGACCGGCAGCUCUUCAGGAAUCCUCCAGGCUUUCAGAGCCAGGUUGGGACUGCUAAAGCCCCCAGCCUUGUGGACUGAGCAGCUACUGGGUUCCCCGCCUCUCCAGUCUGCAGGCAGCUAUGUUAUUGAACUGCCCAGCCCGCAGGCUGUAAUCUAACCUGCUAACUCCCCUUUAUACCUCAUGUUUCUUCUAUUGGUUCUGUUCCUGUAGAGAGCCCUGACUAACACAGCUUGUAUGUAUGUGUAUAUACCAACAUGGAAUCGUACUGCUUUGUGAACUAUUGCACUUGGAUGUAAGUCAAAUGCAUCACAAAGAUAUAUGUACAUACAGCAGUUAUUUGUAAUGGCUGCAGGCAGUCAGUGUUUUGUUGUACUGUCAGAUGCUUCCCGAGUUGUUGUUUUGUUGUUGUGUGUGUCUGUGUAGUGUGUGCAUGUGUGUGUAGAUGUGUGAGUCCCAUGCACAUGUAUGCAGUGGUCAGAGGAGAACAGCAGUGUCCUCCUCGGUCACUCUCCGGCUUUAUUUCCAUGAGGUGGCGUUUCACUGAGCCUGGAGUUGCCAUUUUGGUUGGACUAGGUGAUCAGCAAGCCACAGUGAUUCUCCUAUCUCUGCCCCACCUCAGGACUGGGGAUACGGAUACGUGUGGCCACAACUGGCCUUUUAUGUAGGUGCUGGGGAUGGAACUCAUGGUUGUGUGGCAAGAGUUUCUACCCAGUGAGCCAUCUCUCCAGUUCCUCAGGGUUUUUUUGUACAAACACUAGUGGGAUGGCCUCUUCUAUACCUGUGUAUCUCAUCCUUGCUCACCAGCUUCUAAGGGACCAUCACAGAACCUAUGUUAAAAAUAUUUUACUUAUUUAUUUAUUUGACCUGCAAAUGAACUCCAGACGUGUGUACCACCUUGUGCACCUGGCUUAUGUGGAUUCUGGGGAAUCAAACCUGGGUCCUUUAGCUAUGUAGGCAAGCACCUUAACCACCAAGCCAUCGCUCCAGGCCAGAACCUAUGCUUUAAAGAUUA